rnacentral:rRNA from 1 species
AGCAGUAGCCACGGGAAUACGGAGGGUGCAAGCGUUAAUCGGAAUUACUGGGCGUAAAGCGCACGCAGGCGGUCUGACAAGUCAGAUGUGAAAUCCCCGGGCUUAACCUGGGAACUGCAUUUGAAACUGUCAGGCUGGAGUCUUGUAGAGGGGGGUAGAAUUCCAGGUGUAGCGGUGAAAUGCGUAGAGAUCUGGAGGAAUACCGGUGGCGAAGGCGGCCCCCUGGACAAAGACUGACGCUCAGGUGCGAAAGCGUGGGGAGCAAACAGGAUUAGAGACCCGCGUAGUCCCUGUCUCUUAUAC